GGUGCCUUCGGGAACUCUGACACAGGUGCUGCAUGGCUGUCGUCAGCUCGUGCGUGAGAUGUUGGGUUAAGUCCCGUAACGACGCGCAACCCUUGUCCUUAGUUACCAGCACGUUAUGGUGGGCACUCUAAGGAGACUGCCGGUGACAAACCGGAGGAAGGUGGGGAGUGACGUCAAGUCAUCAUGGCCCUUACGGCCUGGGCUACACACGUGCUACAAUGGUCGGUACAAAGGGUUGCCAAGCCGCGAGGUGGAGCUAAUCCCAUAAAACCGAUCGUAGUCCGGAUCGCAGUCUGCAACUCGACUGCGUGAAGUCGGAAUCGCUAGUAAUCGUGAAUCAGAAUGUCACGGUGAAUACGUUCCCGGGCCUU
rnacentral:rRNA from 1 species